CCUACGGGGGGCAGCAGUGGGGAAUAUUGCGCAAUGGUCGAAAGACUGACGCAGCGACGCCGCGUGGAGGAUGACGCCCUUCGGGGUGUAAACUCCUGUUGCUCGGGACGAAACCUCCUUUCGAGGAGACUGACGGUACCGAGUGAGGAAGCACCGGCUAACUCUGUGCCAGCAGCCGCGGUAAUACAGAGGGUGCGAGCGUUGUCCGGAAUCACUGGGCGUAAAGGGGGCGUCUUGGGCAGGGUACGGGGAAAGCUCGGGGCUCAACCCCGAGUCUGACGUGCGAACUGCCGAGCUGGAGCACGGUAGAGGCACAUGGAAUUCCGGGUGUAGCGGUGGAAUGCGUAGAGAUCCGGAAGAACACCGGUGGCGAAGGCGGUGUGCUGGGCCGUAGCUGACGCUGAGGCGCGACAGCGUGGGGAGCAAACAGGAUUAGAUACCCCAGUAGUC
rnacentral:rRNA from 1 species